UACGGGGGGGGCAAGCGUUGUUCGGAAUUACUGGGCGUAAAGGGCUCGUAGGUGGCCAACUAAGUCAGACGUGAAAUCCCCAGGCUCAACUUGGGAACUGCGUCUGAUACUGGAUGGCUUGAAUUCGGGAGAGGGAUGCAGAAUUCCAGGUGUAGCGGUGAAGUGCGUAGAUAUCUGGAGGAAUACCGGUGGCGAAGGCGGCAUCCUGGACCGGCAUUGACGCUGAUGAGCGAAAGCUAGGGGAGCAAACGGG
rnacentral:rRNA from 1 species